rnacentral:rRNA from 1 species
GUCUACAGCCACACCACCCUGAAUGCACCUGAUCUUGUCCGAUCUCAAAAGCUAAGCAGGAUCAGGCCUGGUUAGCACUUGGAUGGGAGAACACUAAAACAAUGACAAAGAUUGACCCAUAAGCAAGAGGUGUGUUCU